rnacentral:rRNA from 1 species
CGUGAGGGAUGACGGCCUUCGGGUUGUAAACCUCUUUUAGCAGGGAAAAAGCGAAAGUGACGGUACCUGCAGAAAAAGCGCCGGCUAACUACGUGCCAGCAGCCGCGGUAAUACGUAGGGCGCAAGCGUUAUCCGGAAUUAUUGGGCGUAAAGAGCUCGUAGGCGGUUUGUCGCGUCUGCUGUGAAAUCCGGAGGCUCAACCUCCGGCCUGCAGUGGGUACGGGCAGACUAGAGUGCGGUAGGGGAGAUUGGAAUUCCUGGUGUAGCGGUGGAAUGCGCAGAUAUCAGGAGGAACACCGAUGGCGAAGGCAGAUCUCUGGGCCGUAACUGACGCUGAGGAGCGAAAGGGUGGGGAGCAAACAGGCUUAUAUACCCUGGUAGUCCACCCCGUAAACGUUGGGAACUAGUUGUGGGGUCCAUUCCACGGAUUCCGUGACGCAGCUAACGCAUUAAGUUCCCCGCCUGGGGAGUACGGCCGCAAGGCUAAAACUCAAAGGAAUUGACGGGGACCCGCACAAGCGGCGGAGCAUGCGGAUUAAUUCGAUGCAACGCGAAGAACCUUACCAAGGCUUGACAUAUACAAGAACGGGCCAGAAAUGGUCAACUC